UGGGGGUUUUAACCUACAGUUUGGGGGCGUUUCUCAGGGGGAGGAUGGUUGCUCUGUAUCUUUUUGUCUUUCGGAAACUUGUUUAAAAGCCAGUGAUAUUUACAUGUCCCUGUCUGGUCAGGGACAAAACACUGUGAUCAUGCAUCCCCACCCUCUUCCCUAGAAAAGCCAGCCAUAAGAAGUUCCUCAGAAAAUAUAAAAGUCAAGCCUCUAAUAAAAAACUGUCCAAGGCGCAUUCCA